UACGUAGGGUGCGAGCGUUAAUCGGAAUUACUGGGCGUAAAGCGUGCGCAGGCGGUUCGUUGUGUCGGCGGUGAAAGCCCCGGGCUUAACCUGGGAAUGGCCGUUGAAACUGGCGAACUGGAGUGUGGCAGAGGGGGGUGGAAUUCCACGUGUAGCAGUGAAAUGCGUAGAGAUGUGGAGGAACACCGAUGGCGAAGGCAGCCCCCUGGGCCAAUACUGACGCUCAUGCACGAAAGCGUGGGGAGCAAACAGG
rnacentral:rRNA from 1 species